UAGUAUCUAGUGAAACACACAUGCAAACGCCCUUCUGUCCCUCAUUCCCUCAAACUCGAUCUUCUACAUUUGUUGUGUAAAAAGGACAUAGCAAGUUUUUUGUAUCAAUGAUCACUUUAGGAUAUUCCAGUGCAUUUACAUUCAAUAUAUACUGUACCUUGAGUGAGGUAGAAAUGCAUAUUGUUGCAAAUAUAAAUACUGUUAAUUUGUUAUUUUUUGUAAUUAAUCAUUUACUGAAUUUCUUUGUAGAAUAUGUUACUAUUAUUUGGGUUUUUGUUCUCUGCAUAACUGUCUCUUUCACCUAUAUUAAUUCCUCAGCAUUCAAGAUGUUUGUAGGGUCCUCACCUCAGCUACCUCUCACAAGGUGCCCCUGAAAAAGAAAUUCAAGACGUUUGGGUCCUCAGCUCAACUGACCAAGACCUUUGCUCAUUGAAGGCAUGAAGUAAUUUGUGAUGCCCCCACGAUUGCAGUUUUUAAAUCCAGAUGGCUUGCUCUUUUUAACAUGUGCGAGAGCUGGAUGGUCUUUCAACAACACUGCUCCGGGUCUUCAGCAAGAAAGGUGCUUCUCAUGCAAGGAAGAUACAGAUGAUCCUGGUGCCCAUGACUCAGGUAAAACAUGCACACUGCCAUGCAUCACAGUAAUGCUAAAAUUUCAAGAUCUAAUGUAAUGGGGAGAAGUAGGGUGUCUUGGAUCAUAUUGCAUUUCUCCCACUAAUUUCAAUCCUUCAGCCAGUUUUGAACUCAUUGUCUUCACCUCAGUUCUAACUACAGCUGGCUUUACACACAGCAGUCCUGGGCAAUGAUAUAACAGUCUUUUGCAGGUCAGUUGAUGUGGUUGCUGCU